rfam:Erinaceus europaeus unplaced genomic scaffold scaffold00033, whole genome shotgun sequence
GUAUUGUCUGAAAAGGGAGGUUAACACUCUUUUUGAUAAGGAUGGAAGAGGAUUCAGCCUGCAACACACAGAGGCAUUGCCACCUACUUAAAGUCUCGUAAGUCAUUAUUAAAUCACUGUUUUUA